UCACUGUUCCAUCAGCGACUGGGCGAACAUAGGGCACAUGGCCACUCUUAUGCUGCGUUUUUUGAAGUUUUUUUCACUGUUCCAUCAGCGACUGGGCGAACAUAGGGCACAUGGCCACUCUUAUGCUGCGUUUUUUGAAGUUUUUUCCACUGUUCCAUCAGCGACUGGGCGAACAUAGGGCACAUGGCCACUCUUAUGCUGCGUUUUUUGAAGUUUUUUCCACCUUUUCCAUCAGCGACUGGGCGAACAUAGGGCACAUGGCCACUCUUAUGCUGCG